rnacentral:rRNA from 1 species
UACGAAGGGGGCUAGCGUUGCUCGGAAUCACUGGGCGUAAAGCGCACGUAGGCGGCUUUUAAGUCAGAGGUGAAAUCCUGGAGCUCAACUCCAGAACUGCCUUUGAUACUGGAGAGCUGAGUCGGGAGAGGUGAGUGGAACUGCGAGUGUAGAGGUGAAAUUCGUAGAUAUUCGCAAGAACACCAGUGGCGAAGGCGGCUCACUGGCCCGGUACUGACGCUGAGGUGGCGAAAGCGUGGGGAGCGAACGAGGA